AGUACCCGAGUUACUGAAAAUUCCGAUGAUGAAAGUGAUAUAUCUAGUACGUGAACUGUUUGGGUUUUUUUCUAAAAUUUAAUCUUUGCAGUUAAUGUACUCUGUAUACUAAAAAUUCAUAUUGAUUUUGGAUAGAAUUUCACAUUUAAAAACAAAUAGAUAUGCGCCAAGUCCUUAGGAAUCAACCCCACCCCCACCCCUCCACACGGGACUUUUUUUUGGAUGAUUGGACCGUAUCCCCCUUUUCAUCUGUCUCCCUACUUUGAAGUUUUUUUCCCAACGCCAUGACAUAAAUAGAUAAAUAAAUAAAAUGCAAAAAUAAAAACGAAAGAUAUAUAUGUAUUCGGAUUGGCAUGUUCCACUUUGUCCGGGUUGAAAUCCCCGAGGAUGCAAAUGUACAUUACGCCGCACAGUUUGCAGUACGCGCAUGGUACAGGUGUACCACAUAGUGGUCUUCAACUUUUAAUCUCCAAGAAGGAAAUGUAAUUAAAAUAUGAAUAAAGUAUCCCUAAGAAUACCAGAAGAAAGGCUAUGUGUUGAGAAAAACAGCCCUUCCUCAGUACCUCAGAACUAGAUGAUAGCCCUUAAUUGUUACUUUAUGCUGAAUAUGACACAGUAUAGAAGAUCUGAUCAUGAAGAAGUAACACCAUUGAUACACUUGCCAACUGCCAAAAAUACUUUCUGAUAGUAUGAAGAGAUUAGAAGAUAUCAUGGUGUAGUCAUGACACAAACUGCAAAAUCAAAGAAUUAAUUGUCUUCCCCAGAGGAUGAACAGAGCAAGAUGGCUUCACAUGGAUAACAUUUCCUUUCGAGUUUUGAAAUUAAUUUGUCAGAAUGUUAUGCAUCGUUAUCAACAGAAAAGAACUUCAUAGGUAGACCAAAGCUGACAUGGGAUGAGAUCCUAGAACAAGACCUAGAGUUUACAGGAUUGGAUAGGAUCAAUCCACUGGGUCGCCAAGUGUGGAAGUACAAACUUCAACCUCGACAGGACAGCCAGGCCUCACCCUUGCAAAAGGAUUAAUUUGGCCUGGAUAGUCAAAAUGAGUGAUGAUGAUUGAUAUCAAGGUCUGACACUGGAAGCUCAGUAAGGGUAGAUGCUGGCAAUGGAGCUGUUUAGCAAUAAAACAAACAAGUUUAACAUUUAACAUGUUUGUAUACUUUUUUGGCUCACCUGAGCCAAAGGCUCAAGUGAGCUUUUCUGAUCACCUUUGCCUGUCGUCUGUCUGUUUAUAAACUUUUCACAUUUUCAUUUUCUUCUCCAGAGUGAACCACUGGGCCAGUUUCAAUCAAACUUGGUAUGCAUCAUCAAUAGAUAAAGGGUAUUCAAGUUUGUUCAUAUAAAGGGUCAUGCACCCUUCAAAAAGGAAAUAAUCAUGGAAAUGCAAAAAUAGGGUGGGGUCAUUUAAAAAACCUUUUCAAGAACCACUGGACCAGGAAAGUUGAAUUCACACGAAAGGUUCCUGUUUUGUGCAAAUCAUGGUCUCUGGGGGUAGGGUGGGGUCACAAUAGAGAAUCAAAGUUUUACAUUCAUAUAUAGUGCAUAUUCAAGUUUGUAAAAAGCUCACAGGGGUAGGGUGGGGGUCACAAUAGGGGAUUUAAGUUUUACAUGUGAAAUAUAUACAAGGAAAAUCUUUUAAAAUCUUCUCCUCAAAAACUAGAUGCAGAACCGUAGCUCUUUGAAAAGAGAGCUUCAGAUGAACCCCUUAUAAAAAAAACUUCAAUUUAUGGCAGAGAAAAAAAGUGCAUGUUUAAGUCCCUCUAUCACUGCAUUCCUGCAUCGCUGUCUCCUGAAUUUAAUAUUAAAUAAUUCCCAACAUAUUUUCCCACUAUACUUGUUUCCAAACAUACUUUCAAAUAUUUUCUAAACCCACAUAUAACCCCAAAACAGCUUCAAGUGAUUUCAAUUUCUUUGUUGAUGUAGCCAUGUUAAGUAGCCAGUCAAUUUGAACCCCAGUUCAUUUCCAUACUCAUACUCAUUUUGAAACAUAAUGUCUGUGUGAACUAAUAUCCUCACAAAUAUUUUUAGUGAAAUAUUUAGGAUGAAAUCAUCCCAGUUGGGUUAAAUACUUAUUAUUCAAAUACUGUAGGUUUGAAUAUUGAACUAAUCUCACAGCUUUCUUAAGUUUGGUCCCCAUCCCCACCAGUCUGUUUUUACGCUUAACUAUUGAAAUGGAGUGUAAGGGAUCAGACUAGGCUUUUAUAGCAUUAUCAAUUUUCAAAAGCUUUAGAAAAAUUAUACAAUUUUAGGUCACUUGAGUAAACUCAGAUGACAUAUUGCUAUUGAUCUGCAUCUGUUGUAGUCCGUCGACAUUAACAAUUGAACAUUUUUAACUAAAUUCUAUAACUGAAAGAUGAAGAUACCGCACAGCGAUCAAUCUACGAUUCAAAUAACGGAAUUCUUUUCAAAUUUAGUAUGAAGCACACAAAUUUACAUUAAACCUUCUUGACAUAGUGCAUAUUCAAGUUUGUUAAAAUCAUUUCCCCGGGAGUUAUGGUGUGGUAACAAUAGGGGGUCAAAGUUUUAUAUGCUAGCUGAUAUAAAGGAAAAUUCUUUAAAGAUAUCUCUUGAACUAUUUAAGCUAGGGCUUUCAUAUCUUGUAUAUACAAUUUUUAUGGCAAAACAAAUCUGACCUAUUCAGUAUGUCCUGAACUACAUUGUGUUUAAGGUAGAUCUUUCAUAUAUAUUAUAUAUUAUGAAUUUCUUAUGAUAAAACCUUUCAUCUUGUUGAGGAGCCUCUCACCUCUGGUUGGCGCGGGUUUGAAUCCUGCUCGCACCGGUAAUUGAGAAAGUUUCCCAGUUUACUCUCGGAAGGUCGGGGGUCUCUUCCCAGGUACAUUGUAUCUGGGUUCUCUCUUCCACCAAUAAAAACUGGGCACCACCAGAUAACUGAAAAAUUGUUGAGUGUGGCGGAAAACAGUUAAAACAAUCAAUCAUAUUAUGUUAUUUGACCUUGUGACCCUGAACUCUGAGUUUGACAUACUUUUAAGAAAGUAUAACGUAUUAAGUAUAUCCAGGACUAUUUUAGAUAGGGCAUUUAUGUUUUGUAUAUUGAUUACUUAUGGCAAGGUCUUUCAUAUCAUACCAAGACCUACGACUUUUUACCUUGGUCUUAUCCAGAACAGCAAUAUCAUGCUAGUCAUAUCUUUGUCUUAUAUGAUUUCAUUUUAGUAAUGUUGUGUUCUUUAGAGCUAGGUUUGGGUCACAUUAUUCAUGAGAAUAAAGAUUGAUAAAAUAGCAUUUAAAAAUCAAAACAGCAGGGCCAAGAUGACUCAGGUGAGCGAUGUGGCCCAUGGGCCUCUUGUUGAUUUUGAUAUUUCUACCUAUAUCAUUUGUAUGAGAAAUGGAACUCCUUUUUUUCUUUUACAAAUACAUGUAUUAUCAUAUGGAUCCAUCUUUGUUGAUUAUUUAAUCAAAGGACAUAUUCAAUUCAUUCAAUGUAUUAAAUGUAAAUUUAUGGAUAUGUCUGUGGUUGAAUUACUUAUGUAUGUAUGUAUACAUUUUUCUCGCACAUGCAAUUACAUAUAUGAUGUAUAUAUAUUUACUAAUUGUACAUGUAAUAUCCCCUGUUAUAUAAUAAAAUAUAUGACUGAGAAUAAAAGACCUGCUGUUUUCAUUGCUACCAUGAAACAUUAAAAGAUUAGAAUAAUUCAAAUAUCUUAAUGAAUUCUAUAAUAUAUGAAUUUGAUAUUUGUAUAUGAUUGCCUCACUGGUGUUCAAUGUGAACUUUGGUUUAUUGUUUCAGUUUGCUCGAUCUUUAUAUCAAAUUAAAAUUUAAGACAAAUAAGGAAUUAUUUCCGAAAUUGGUUAAUAUGGUACAUUGUAGUAAAAUAAUCAAGAGUUUAUUCAUAUGAGAUAGCUAAAUUUCACAUGAAUAACCAGUGACUGAUUCUUGAUUGUCAACAUUUUCACCGAACAGUUCAGAAAUUACCAUGGUACAUGUACAUACUAUUAGGGGAUCAUAAAAUUCCUUAAAGAGUGACAAAUUUUUAAAUAUCACCUUUUCAAGGAGAAAAAUCCUCUUACGUAUAUGAAUACUAUGAAGAGAUUAAAAGAGAGGUGGUUAGAUCACUUGUAUGGUGAGAUUCAUUUGUGGCAAGAACUGGUAUGAUGUCUUGAGUCAGAAAGCACUGGAAUCCACUAGGAAUAGUUUUAGAUCUAUGGAGCGCCAAAAUAACAAACUCAGAUAUUUGAAGAUAUCUUUAAUUAUUUGAAGAUAUUAUUAAUUCAUUUCAUGCACGCAACAUUGCAAUCAAAGGUCUCUUCAAAUAAUUAAUGAUAUCUUCAUUUGAAUUGAAUUAUUGAUAUCAUUAUUUAUUCCGCUGAAUUGAUGCACACAAUAACUUAAUUGUUGCUCUCCUCAAAUGAAUUAUAAUUUAAUGAUACCAACAAUAGAAUUAAUGCAUGCUACAAUUCAAUUGAAGAGAGCAAUAAUUCAUUAAUGCUAACAUCACUUAAUGUGCGCAAUAAAUGGAUUAUUGCUCUCUUCUAUUGAAUUAAUGAUAUCAUUAAUUAAAUUGAUGCGUGCAAUAAUUAUGUUAGUGAGAGUAAUUAUCUAAUUGAGAUAUAAUCCUUAAUUAAUUCGACAUAUCCACAACUGAAUGAAUGAUUUCUUUAAUUGAAUUGUUGCUCUCUUUUUAAAAACAAAACAACAAUGUGCGCAUUAAUUACUUAUGAAAUAGCCCUGUAUAUAUAAUUGAAAA